AUGGAGAUGCAGCCUCUGCUGACCUUGCCGCUGGAGGCUGAACGUGGGCGCAGCGUCGCGCGGCACCCCUCACCACGCGCUGCCCGGCGUCGGUCUCAGGAGAGCCUCACGCCACCAGUCUCGCCUCCGCUGUCGCCAACUACCGUCCUUCCGCCGUCUCCGAGGUCCAUGAGGAAUGAAGCCCGGUCGGCUGCGGUUGUGCCGAACAUGCCAAGCCCGGCGCUGCUCGAGCUUUGCUCGCCCCAGAUGCUGAUGCUGCCUGUUCCGUCGCCUUCCAGGCCGCCGGGGUUUGAGGCCUCCCCAACGCCACCCCUGUUGUCCAGUGGGCUGCUGCGCCGCACUCCUUCGCCCGUGCGGCAUCGUAGGGCUGCUGUCGGUCGGUCGGCCUCCAGUGCCUUGCACCCCUGUUUGAAGAUCGCCAGGAAGCCAUCCUGCCCACACCCACCCCUGCUCCAACGCCACCCCGAGCUCCUGCUGCACGCAGGAAAACCAUGGCUGGUGUGA
rnacentral:rRNA from 1 species